rnacentral:sRNA from 1 species
CAUCGAAAAAAGGCGAAUGGCGCAGUAUUCUAGUCGCCACCUGAGUGUCGAAGACGGGCCUAAAAAUCCGUUAAGGGCACAUCGAUGAAGUCUCUGGUGGUGGCCUUCGACGCCCAGUCGGGGGCUGCUGCUGGGGGUUAAGGUGGAAGGGGAACCUACAAUGGCAUGUAGGGGUACCCUCCCACCACGGAGACCCAAAUGCGUGGGGCCGCGGAGAACGUUGCCCUACGGUUUGGGACUGAACCUGCACGCGAUGCGCAGUCGCAGCUUAGAUGUACAUUAGUGUGGUGUGCAGCGUAGCCUGCCUUGAGUGGUAUUGGGGGAUAGGGCUUGUAAGACAGGACCCUUGUGGCCAGAGGCGAAUGUUGACUAUCGCAAGAUAGGGGCCCUUGAAACCAAUAGUGCAAAAGAGGCUAGACAUUCACGGAUGGCGCCGAGGAAAACUCCUAGACUGUUUCGCUCGCGAUGGCAUUUUGAGGAUUACGGUGUGGACUAAGUGGUAAUCCAGCCUCGUCUUUGGCGACAAAGCGAAAAGGCCGGAAAAGGGGAACCGCCAGCUGCGGCGACGGGCUGGAAGGCCUUUGGGAAAACCUGCUGGACCUAAGCCACAAUCUUUACUCAAAGUGCUGCCAUUUGCCUUUCUCUACAU